UUCUUAAUGAAAUAAUAAUAAGUAAAACCUGCUCCAUGUAAUAUAAAUAGCCGCAAAAAUUUAAUGUGCUAAGGUAGCAUAAUCAUUAGACUCCUAAUUAGAGUCUAGAAUGAAAGGUUCAACAAUUAAAUUACUUUUUCUAAUAUCAAUUUAAAAUUACAAUAAGAAUAAAAAUAUUCUUAUAAAUAAAAAAGACGAUAAGACCCUAUCAAACUUAACUGAAGUUAAGCUGGGGAAGCUAAUUAAUAAUCAUUUUAAUUAAAAUACUUUUAUAAAAACCCAAUAAAAUUGAAAAUCAAGUUACUGUAGGGAUAACAGCGUAAUAUUUCUUAAAAGCUCUUAUUUAAAGAAAAACUUGCGACCUCGAUGUUGAAUUAAUUUUACUUACUAACGCAACCGUUAAAAAAGUUUAGGUCUGUUCGACCUCUAAGAAAUUACA
rnacentral:rRNA from 1 species